AACAACCUGGAAUUAACGUUGGUCUCAUUUGUAGACAGGAAAUUUGGAGAAGCGAGCUGGAUCUUAAUUUUUUAGGGGUUGCUGACGCCAUUGUUUGCGAGCACCAGACCAGGUUCCUAGGCUAAGAAGUCGGUGCUAAAAGCUUGGAUUCCAGUCCGUCACCUCUCCGUCCCGUCAUAAACCCGUCCCACACGAGACGUCCAGUCAGUCGGGCCCAUCUGCAUUUACAUUUGUGCCGACCAUCCAAAGUGGCUCCUCCGCUUCAAGGUUAAGGUGGCUUUCGGUUCUAGACUUAGUCCUUGUCCAGAGGGCAGGGCAGAGGCGAACAGAAACAGCGAUGCAGCAGCUGAGCAGAGCUCAGCCAGACAGACGCAGUGACCUAAAUCAGCCCCAGUCAUGUCUGGACGCAGCCAGAGCAAGGCAGACAGAGAGGAAGACAGAGCGAGAGAGAGAGGGAGAGAGCGACCCACACGUACCGACUUGAACAUAUACUCACACUACGUAAACGACUGGAUAAAAGGCGGGCUGAAGUGAGUUGGUCAGACAGGCCUUGCCAAACCCACAGGCUGUUCUGCUGCUUUGCUACCGCUGUGGUGUUUUGAUGUGUGCUACUGUGCAGAUGCAGUUUUUGGGCGGUCACCAACAAGCUACUGUACAGGAGGAGACUCUGGGAAAGUAAGGGAUAUCUUUCAAGUGAGAAAAUCCUGCUCCAGUGUGCCAUAAGUCAUUGGAGAAGACAGGGCUUUGGAAGGAGAAAGGAUACCUUUAUUUGUUCUGUCCACAGAGUAGUAUAUGAAGGCAUAAAUUCAUAAUGUCUCUCCAAGAAAUGUAUAUUCAAACCAAAAAUUAUUCAGACACCAGAUACCAUUUUUUUUGCUAUUGUUUUAUUUUUUUUACUAGUGGGUGCAGUACACUUGUUCAUUUAUGUUAAGUGAGGAUAGCAAAAUAAAGUAAACUGUGACAUAUUAUAUCUAAUAAUUCUACUACAGGGGACUACCCAACAAAUUUGGGACCAAAAAUUAUUAUCACUUUGACCUAACCAUGUUUUGCUUAAGUUUUUUCCCUUAAUUGCUAAUAUGACCUUUUAUACC